GUGGGUAGUUUGACUGGGGCGGUCUCCUCCUAAAGAGUAACGGAGGAGCACGAAGGUUGGCUAAUCCUGGUCGGACAUCAGGAGGUUAGUGCAAUGGCAUAAGCCAGCUUGACUGCGAGCGUGACGGCGCGAGCAGGUGCGAAAGCAGGUCAUAGUGAUCCGGUGGUUCUGAAUGGAAGGGCCAUCGCUCAACGGAUAAAAGGUACUCCGGGGAUAACAGGCUGAUACCGCCCAAGAGUUCAUAUCGACGGCGGUGUUUGGCACCUCGAUGUCGGCUCAUCACAUCCUGGGGCUGAAGUAGGUCCCAAGGGUAUGGCUGUUCGCCAUUUAAAGUGGUACGCGAGCUGGGUUUAGAACGUCGUGAGACAGUUCGGUCCCUAUCUGCCGUGGGCGCUGGAGAACUGAGGGGGGCUGCUCCUAGUACGAGAGGACCGGAGUGGACGCAUCACUGGUGUUCGGGUUGUCAUGCCAAUGGCACUGCCCGGUAGCUAAAUGCGGAAGAGAUAAGUGCUGAAAGCAUCUAAGCACGAAACUUGCCCCGAGAUGAGUUCUCCCUGAGACUUAGAGUCUCCUGAAGGAACGUUGAAGACGACGACGUUGAUAGGCCGGGUGUGUAAGCGCAGCGAUGCGUUGAGCUAACCGGUACUAAUGAACCGUGAG
rnacentral:rRNA from 2 species